GUACUGCCUCCAAUCAAGUCCCAGGCUUUUGUGGGCACACUGCCCCUCGACAGCUCAUUUGCUCUUCUAUAGUUUCAGUUUCGUUUUUCUGUAGAGAGCAGUCUCGCGUUGCUCAUUGACCGAUGGCUGACCCAGAUUCUACUUUAUGAUUUCAGAAAAGCUCAAAACGGGAAAGCUCAAAAGGAAUGAUGUGACAGACUAGUCCUGGUCUCCCAUUUCAUCUGUGUGUAGUGUUUUUAGAUUGGUCUGUUAUACUGGUCGCAGCCAGACUCUUUAUUGCCACACAGAGUUGGUGGUAAUUGCUUUUGGUACAGCACGAUAGGCAAAAACUCUCACAAGGUUUUAGUUUCAAUUUAUUAGUAGACAGGUAGAACAUUUUAAGGCACAGGGUGACUUGCAUUGACUCUGAAAUGGCAAGAGACAAAAUAAUAUAGAACAGCAAAAAAUACAUGAAAAAACAGACAUUAUACAGCUGUGCCAGGAAAAUAACCUCUCCCUCAACGUCAACAAAACAAAAGAGCUGAUCGUGGACUUCAGGAGACAGCAGAGGGAGCACACCCCCAUCCACAUCGACGGGACCGCAGUGGAGAAGAGAAUUUGGCAGUAUGUCCAACCGGCCUCACAACCGCAGACCACGUUUAACCACGCCAGCCCACAAACUCCACAUCCAGCUUCUUCACCUGCGGGAUCGUCUGAGACCAGCCACCCGGACAGCUGAUGAAACUGAGGAGUAUUUCUGGCUGUAAUAAAGCCUUGACAAAGAAGAUUGUACAUUUUUCCUGAUCAAAGAGAGGUUUUGAAAGCCUUAUUUGACCAGGGAAGGACCAGGAGAGGGUCGCCUCUGCUGGCUGAGACAGCCACCAGAACUGGACUGUCAGAGAAUGUAGUGGAGGCCAGAGCACUUCGUCGACAUCGCAAGCAAUAUUGUCCCUCCUGAGGCAACGGGGGAAGAAGCCUCUUGUGUGCCGUAUCCAGCCCUGACAUGAUUCCUCACCUAUAUCACCACAGGCUAAAUCCAUGGCUUGCAGCAGAUUUACUCUGGUGUAAGGUUGUCUAUCAUACACUUUCCAUCUCCAAGAGGAGAAAAACUCUUCAAUCGGAUUCAGGAAAGGUGAGUAUGGAGGGAGGUACAAGUUCAUAAACUUGCCCAUUGAUGUUAAACCAUUCCCUUACCUGAGCAGCUCGGUGGAAACUGACAUUGUCCCACACUAUCACAUAGGUGGGAAUGGGAUUCUCAUUUAGCUCUUGACCCUGUUGCUCUUGAACCUGUUGCUCAAAUAAAAUAUCUCUUAGAUUGGCAAUAAAGCUUAGAAGGUGCUGGGUGUUAUGUGUAACAUGGUGAUGUAGAACACUAUGGUUUCUGAUAGCAGCACAGAUUGUGACAUUGCCACCUCGUUGACCAGGGACUUCAACAAUGGCCCGCUGUCCAAUCAUGUUUCGGCCUCUCCUUCUCCUCUUUGUUAGAUUGAAGCCUGCUUCAUCGACAAAGAUGAACUCAUGGGGUCUGUCCAAGGAUUCCAAGUCAAAUAUUGUCUGUGUAGAAAUACAAUAUACUGUAUGUAGGAUUUUGUAAGUCGUACAGAGACAGUGCUAUACUGUAGAGUACAUUUAGGCCUACUGUAUGCACUUCUGAUUCACAUACAUUGUAUGUACCGAAGAGUAAUGUCAUUCACAUAGUAUGUGUUAGUACUGUAGACAAUCUGGAUUACAGUAAAUGUUUCUGAAUGUACACUUACUUGCACAUACUGAGCUCGCAGUUCUUUCACCCUUGGUGAGUUGCGCUCAAAAGGUACUUGUUUCAUUCGCAUCCUGGUACGAUAGGGGGACACGGUCAAUUGUGGAAAUGCUCACACUGUCGAUUCCCUGGAAGUGUGUGUUGUCUUGUAUCACUCGUUCCUGGAUUUCUCUGAGUCGUAUUGCAUUAUCUUGAAGGACCAUGCCAACUAUAACGGCCUCUUGCUCCCGAGUGAAUAUAGCUGUCCUUCCACCUGCAUGUGGCAGCCUUGCAAUUCUACAAAAAGUAGUUGUGCAGUUACAAAACAUAUUCAUGCAGUACAAUACAUACAGUGAUUAACUUUACAAAUGUCUAUUGAAACAGCUGCAUAUAGUGUAGUACAGUAAAUUUGCAAUUACAAAAAUACAAUAGUUUACUGUACCUGUUCUCUUCUCUGAAUGUCCUUACUAUGGUGGACACAGAAAAUCGGCUCAAAUUGGGUUGCACUCUAAGUCCUGCUUCUCUCAUUGUCAGUCCAUGGACAAGAACAUGGUCUAUAACUGUUGCUCGAAUUUCAUCAGAUAUUGCCACUCUUUGUCUUCCUCUUCAUCCUCCUCUUCCUCUUUCUUGCCCUCCUCUUCCUCCUCGUCACCCACCUCGCAUACGCACUCGUCCUCUCACAUUGUUUCUUCUAUCUUCUAUAUUCUCAGACUUUCUCCUUCCCACCUUCAACAACCUGUUUGCUCUCUGAACUGGCUUAUAUUGGUUGUGUCGCAUCAUUUGAAACAGGUUAAAUCAAUUUUGAGUGGUUGUGUUCAAUCAAUGACAUGUGUUCUCUAUUUGUAUUUGAUUGUUGCCACUUGUGUUUACCAGUAUGGAUGACAUGUGCAUUAGAGUGCAGAAUGUGUUUUGAGAAUGAGAAUGUGUUUAGAGUUUUGCUGAAAAGUCUAAGUGAGAUCUGCAAAUUGUGUUUUACCAUGUGAAAUGGUUUAAGGUAUUGACAACAGACUGCAUAAUUAGCUAAAUGAGUCCAGGCAACUGAGAACUUUGUUCAGCCAAUGGGUUUUAGUGUUUUAGCAUUUGAGAAAAACUGUAAUUGAAACCAUCUUAACCUUCUACUUCCUUGUGUCACGUCCUGACCAGCAGAGGGAGUAGUUGUUUAGUAUUUGGUCAGGACGUGGCAGAAGUUGUGUGUUGUAUGUAGUUUCUAGUUGUUCUGUUUCUGUGUUAGUCUGUGUGACUCCCGAUCAGGAACAGCUGGAUAUCGUUGUUCCUGAUUGGGAGUCAUAUAUUAGGUGUGUGUUUUUCUCUUGGGGUUGUGGGUUGUUUUAUUUUGCACUGGUGUAAGUAGCUAUAUAGCCUGUAGAACUGUCGGUUUUUGUCAUUUUCUUGUUUUUCCGUGUUCUCAUUAUUUAAUAAAUUAUGAUGUUGAGCACGCAAUCCGCUGCGCCUUGGUCUUCUCUACAGUACGACAACCGUUACACCUUGGGUGGUAUGGUUCAGCAGCGUCAAGUCUUAAAGCUUCCCAUCCCUCUACAAAUCAAGAACCAUCCAUAAAUCCAGACAAUUUUACUUAGACACACCCACUAUACGACUAGUACCAACAGCUUCUGUCAGGUCAAAGGUUCAAAACCCCACUCUGUAAAACAAACAGGGCACACAAGUCAUUCAUAUCAACCAGCAUCAUGUUCCUAAAUCCAGGAAGACUUAACCAUAACACACCACCUACAGUAUACCUCUAUCUAUUUGUCUGUCUGACCUUGUCUUGUGAAGUAUGGCCUGAGAUAUUUUAUGUAUUUAAGUGACGUGUUGAAUGUUCUGUGAUGUGUUACAGUACGUUUGCCAUUAUUCCCAAACAAAUGCCGCUAUGGAACAAUGAAGGGUUUGACUUCAAAUUCGGAUCUUAUCCUUUGCCUUCGGAUCUUAUCCUUUGCUGUUGCGAUAAUAAUGUUGAUUAUUAUGUUAUUUCAACUUUUUGUGUUUUGCCUCUAGUUUCAUAUUGCCCAGAUUGCCCAGAUUCAAAACACCCCGCUGGUUGUGACACAAUGCAGAUAAUAAAAAGGGCUCCUUUUUCAAUCAUCUGCAAGAUAAAAAGCUGAGUUGGUGGAGCAAUAGUUUUGUGUUUACUCUUUUAAUAAACUAUUAUGUGCUGAUUUGAAAAUGUGAUGCAGUGUUCUUUACUGUUGUGUUGUCUUCCUAUUGUUUCCUCUAGAACUGGUUAGGGAAUGAAAGAAAAAAACUGGCCCAGAGUAAAGCUGUCCCUCAACAAAAAACGAAGCUCUACAAACGUAAUGUGUCAGCUUACAACCUGUUUAUGAGGGACCACCGUAAAGCUAAAGGGUUGCUUUAAUUACCUGUUUGCAAUUACAAGAGCAAGGCUUGUAUUGUGGACUGUAUGCAUUUCUCAAUCGGUGUGUCUUUGAUGUAGGUUAAUUAUUGUUAUUUUUAGAUGAAUGAUCAGAGGGGUUUCUCUUCAGAACAUUAUGGGUCUAACAACAAAUUCUAGUCUACUGACUCUAUCAGAGACAUAUUUGUACUUUGUUUCAACAUGUAAAUGUUUUGUUGUUGUAAGGUCUUGAUAGAAUAGAUUGUUUUAUCAAUGUCACUGACAUUGUCAUGUUUUCUGUUGUAUGUCAGGAGUUAUGGCAGGUACACAGGGCAAUUGGCAGGCAUUACCACCUGCCACAAAAGCCCAUUACAGUGAGGAGGCAGACAAGCUACAGGCAGGAGGUCAGGAGUUGAAGGGGAACCUGAAGGCAUUAAAAGUCAAAGAUAAUUUAAGACGGGAAUAUAUACUAUAGGGUCACAAUAGUAAAUCGUGACAUUUCGAAACUUUUACUUUAAAAAAGUAAUGUGUUUGGAUUUGAGUUAGAGAUACAGAAUCUGAGAUACAGGUUUAAGAUAGAGGGACCAGGCAUUUUUCUUACAGUAGGAUUUUAGUCUUUUCGCCAACUCUUUUCCUAUAAGGAUUUUUAGGUAUCGUCUUUUUUUUACAUCUAAUUUCAUUUAUUAUUUAUCUUGUCUAUUUCUACAUAUUGUUUUGUUAGGUUAUCGAGUUGGAAGCUAUGGGGGUCGACACAGCAUUCCUUGUCCACAACCCCGAGGACCCCAUACCAGUCAGCACAGCCUCAUCUGGGAGGGGAAAGGAAUUUGUUGAGGGCCAGGAUCUGAUCGGCAAGUUUUCUGAACACUUUUCUGGCAAACCUGCAGCUUCACAGUCAAAGGGGUUUGACAAGGCUAGAGUGCAGGGAGUACAAGCCUUAUUCAACCAGAAGGAUAAUGAAGCAGGUGGACAGGGCAGAGUUCCACACAUGGCUGUGGCUGCCAAGAAAGUGGUCAUUGUAGUAGAGUAGAGGGCAUGCCAGCUGGGAUAGAGUUGAAAAAUGGACCAACUAUCUUCCAUUUUUGAGGCAGGCCUUGGCAUCAAGUUCACAAUAAGUAAGAUGCAACAAAUGCGCUCUAAAAUGUUUCAAUGCAGAAUUGGAAUGUCUUGGUCAUUGAGAUGAACAACAUUGACAUGUACAGUACAGGCAGUGACUUGACCCAUUACUUUAGACAAUCAGGACAUUCCCUUUGAACCGAUACUGCAAAUAGUCUGGGUAUCCAUUUGACUAGGUGUUCAGGAGUCUUAUGGCUUGGGGGUAGAAGCUGUUUAGAAGCCUCUUGGACCUAGACUUGGCGCUCCGGUACCGCUUGCCGUGCGUUAGCAGAGAGAACAGUCUAUGACUAGGGUGGCUGG